GAUGAACGCUGGCGGCGUGCCUAAUACAUGCAAGUCGAGCGAAUGGAUUGAGAGCUUGCUCUUAUGAAGUUAGCGGCGGACGGGUGAGUAACACGUGGGUAACCUGCCCAUAAGACUGGGAUAACUCCGGGAAACCGGGGCUAAUACCGGAUAACAUUUUGAACCGCAUGGUUCGAAAUUGAAAGGCGGCUUCGGCUGUAACUUAGGGAUGGACCUGCGUGGCAUUAGCUAGUUGGUGAGGUAACGGCUCACCAGGGCAACGAUGCGUAGCCGACCUGAGAGGGUGAUCGGCCACACUGGGACUGAGACACGGCCCAGACUCCUACGGGAGGCAGCAGUAGGGAAUCUUCCGCAAUGGACGAAAGUCUGACGGAGCAACGCCGCGUGAGUGAUGAAGGCUUUCGGGUCGUAAAACUCUGUUGUUAGGGAAGAACAAGUGCUAGUUGAAUAAGCUGGCACCUUGACGGUACCUAACCAGAAAGCCACGGCUAACUACGUGCCAGCAGCCGCAGUAA
rnacentral:rRNA from 1 species